CCUACGGGAGGCAGCAGUGAGGAAUAUUGGUCAAUGGGCGCGAGCCUGAACCAGCCAAGUCGCGUGAGGGAAGACGGUCCAAUGGAUUGUAAACCUCUUUUGUCGGGGAGCAAAAGACGGCACGCGUGGCGUUACGAGAGUACCCGAAGAAAAAGCAUCGGCUAACUCCGUGCCAGCAGCCGCGGUAAUACGGAGGAUGCGAGCGUUAUCCGGAUUUAUUGGGUUUAAAGGGUGCGCAGGCGGACGAUCAAGUCAGCGGUAAAAUUGAGGGGCUCAACCUCUUCGCGCCGUUGAAACUGGGUUUCUUGAGUGGGUGAGAAGUAUGCGGAAUGCGUGGUGUAGCGGU
rnacentral:rRNA from 1 species